rnacentral:rRNA from 1 species
AUACGGAGGAUGCAAGCGUUAUCCGGAUUUAUUGGGUUUAAAGGGUGCGUAGGCGGUUUGCUAAGCGGGAGGUGAAAUGCCGGCGCUCAACGUCGGAAGUGCCUCCCGAACUGGUGGACUUGAAUGACUCUGCCGUGGGAGGAAUGUGUAGUGUAGCGGUGAAAUGCUUAGAGAUUACACAGAACACCGAUUGCGAAGGCAUCUCACGAAGGGUUGAUUGACGCUGAGGCACGAAAGCGUGGGGAUCGAACAGGAUUAGAUACCCUGGUAGUCCACGCAGUAAACGAUGAUGGCUAACCGCUGGGCUUAUCAGUUCAGUGGCCAAGCGAAAGCGAUAAGCCAUCCACCUGGGGAGUACGACCGCAAGGUUGAAACUCAAAGGAAUUGACGGGG